rnacentral:rRNA from 1 species
AUUGAACGCUGGCGGCAGGCCUAACACAUGCAAGUCGAGCGGGGGUAGCAAUACCCUAGCGGCGAACGGGUGAGGAAUGCUUGGGAAUCUGCCUGGUAGUGGGGGAUAACGUUCCGAAAGGAACGCUAAUACCGCAUACGUCCUACGGGAGAAAGGGGGGGGAUCUUCGGACCUCUCGCUAUCAGAUGAGCCCAAGCGGGAUUAGCUAGUUGGUGGGGUAAAGGCCCACCAAGGCGACGAUCCCUAGCUGGUCUGAGAGGAUGAUCAGCCACACUGGAACUGAGACACGGUCCAGACUCCUACGGGAGGCAGCAGUGGGGAAUAUUGGACAAUGGGGGAAACCCUGAUCCAGCCAUGCCGCGUGUGUGAAGAAGGCCUUC